GCUCAAAUUUGAAAUCUAGCACCUUCGGUGUUCGAGUUGUAAUUUGAAGAUGGUAACCUUGGGUUUGGCUCUUGUCUAUGUUCCUUGGAACAGGACGUCAUAGAGGGUGAGAAUCCCGUCUGAUGAGAUGCCCAUUCCUAUGUAAGGUGCUAUCGAAGAGUCGAGUUGUUUGGGAAUGCAGCUCUAAGUGGGUGGUAAAUUCCAUCUAAAGCUAAAUAUUGGCGAGAGACCGAUAGCGAACAAGUACAGUGAUGGAAAGAUGAAAAGAACUUUGAAAAGAGAGUGAAAAAGUACGUGAAAUUGUUGAAAGGGAAGGGCAUUAGAUCAGACUUGGUGUUUUACGAUUAUCUUCUCUUCUUGAGUUGUGCACUCGUAUUUCACUGGGCCAGCAUCGAUUCGGAUGGCAAGAUAAUGGCAGUUGAAUGUGGCUUCACUUCGGUGGAGUGUUAUAGCUUCUGCUGAUAUUGCCUGUCUGGAUCGAGGGCUGCGUCUUUUGACUAGGAUGCUGGCGUAAUGAUCUAAUGCCGCCCGUCUG
rnacentral:rRNA from 1 species